CAGUAUUUCUGCAGAAUAAUUUUUCAUUUAAAAUGGAAACAACAGAUUGAAGCCAAACUUGUUGUACGUACACCCUCUUGUAAUCAAUGUGAAAAGUUAGUUCUGACUCCAGUGGGACUAGGGUGCAACCCCAAAUAGCUAAUAUGUACCCAUGUGACAGGAUAAAGCCAUAUUAACAAACAGCUAUAGAAGUAAUUUGCUCAAGCAUGUGGAACAACUUUGUAAGAUACAAAGGUGGUCAUGCAGUUCUGAUGAGGUCAUUCAAAGUCCAUCUGACAUUGCAGAUGGCUAUUAUCAACCUGUCAAGGUCUAUAGUAAAAUGUGUGGAGAUCUUGCUGACAUAAUAGGAAGCCUGCUGUCUGAUCUUCCAUUGCCCAUCAUUGCUUAAUAGUACAGCUUGCUGUUUGUGGCUGUUGGGCUAGGUCUCACUAUAUCAUCUCCCCUUUUAUGGAAAAAAGAACUUGAUGCAAUAGAUUUUGACGAGAUUCCUCAGGGGCCUCCCCUGCCACCAGCCCCAUUUUGGCAACACUUGAAUAAUUCUUAGUGGCACUUUUUAAGAUAUCACACUCGCAUUGUGUAAAUGUUGUCUGUAAGCACUUUGGAUCAGGGCCUGCUUGCUUAUGGAACUCAGUAAAUCAUUAUUAUUAUUUAUUGAAUUUAUAUACUUCCGUAUACCCAGAGGUCACAGGGCGGUUCUACAUAUAAUAUAGAUGGCACUGUACAAAUGAGCACUUAACUUUUAAAAUGUUAUAGUGGCAAGAUUAUAUGUUAACAACAACAGGAAAAGCCCAGUGCUAUAUAAAAAUGUGUUAUUGAAAUUAUCUCUCUUUUUUAAGCUGGAUAUGUUCAUCCACUCAUUUUGAAGAUUUCUCUUUUUCUCCAUAGCUGACCAUGGUUUCUUUUGUACAACAACAAAAUGACACGGUUUUGGAGAUAACCUGUUUAACGGAUGUGAAGCUUUUGGUGAUGGCUUUGAGGAAAAUGACCUGUUUGAACAUUUUAUGGAAAGUUGACGUGGCAGCCAAUAUCCUCCACCAAGCUACCGAGAAACUGAAAGACUCUGCCCUAAACUGCCUGCAGCCGCUCAAGAAUGGGUAUGAUGUUUCAGUACAGAAAAUGGAAGAAAGAUGGAGAAAACGAAAAGGGACUUCUCAGGUGAUAACCCACAAGUCUGGGCUUAAGAAUGCUAUGAAGGCUAAGCUGUUUGAUCAUUAUCCAAGUUUGUCUCUGGGUAGAUUGUGUGCCUGUUCCUCCAGUGCCAGGCUUCUUUUUAAUUAGGUAGGGUAAGAAAAUGGUACUCAUAUUCUAGAACAUGACAUUUAUUUUCUUAAUAUACAGUGAGGGGCAACGGGUGAGCUCCUAAUUGGUACCUCAUGUGGCACAAAAGAACAGAUUGGCAAUUCAUGUGGGAUCAGCAUGUUGGGAGAUGGGUGCCUUGUCUAUCAGUGCCUGAAGGAGGGCAGGCGGCUUUAAAGGGUCUUUGGAUAUGCUUCAAUAUGGGAGCAUAUGUGCUAGAAGUUUAAACCUUCAGGUAUGAUAAUGCCCAUAGUACUGCGUUUUAUUCUCUUUAUACAUAGUCCUCUCCUUGGUUUCCUACUUAUGAAUGGCACUCUCUCUGGCUCUGAACAAAGCAAAACUGCUAGACUGGGGUCUUGUGUGGGGAUUUAUUUGGGGGCACUGCUGCUGCUAUUAUUUGUGUAUCUUUAUUUUAGAUCUUAUUGUGAUUUGUGUGGAAAUUGUUCAGUUUGGUUGUGUACUAUUCUUGAGGAUUACUUUUGUAAUUUUUUUCAUGUCAUAAGCUGCCUUGAGCAUGGUUUUUACUGUGGAAAGGAAGAGUACAAAUAAAUGUGUGCAAAAUGGAUUUUCUCAUUUCCCCCCCAUGUGUCCAGUUUAAAGUUCUCUCUUUGCAUAGUGGGGAGCGCUGCUCAGACUGAAGGAAUCAUUUCGAAAAAUGCAUGUUAACUCUCAGUUAUGCUGGUGCUGGAACCUGCUGCUUGCUCACCUGGAGCUAGUCUAUUCAGCCAGUUGAUCUGGCCUGGUGACGGUUAGGGAGUCAAAAUGAGGCUAGUUACAUCCUUGCAAGCCAAAAGACAAAGCUCAAUGUCUGCUUGAUGAAUUCGCCUGUCAAAAAAAUGGAAACUUGCGAUGAACAAACUUUGAACUUGGGUGUGGCGGUCUGUGCCACGACUGCUGUCUAGUUGUAGCCUUGCAUGUGCUUGAAAGAGAUUAAAAUUGUACUAAAGUA